GACGAACGCUGGCGGCGUGCCUAACACAUGCAAGUCGAGCGGAGUCGAUCGACGGAAGCCUUCGGGCGGAAGAUGGUUGACUUAGCGGCGGAUGGGUGAGUAACGCGUGGGCAACCUGCCCUUAACCGGGGGAUAACAUUGUGAAAACAGUGCUAAUACCGCAUAACAGAGUAUCGGGCAUCCGAUAUUUUUAAAAGGAGCAAUCCGGUUUAGGAUGGGCCCGCGUCCAAUUAGCUAGUUGGUGAGGUAACGGCUCACCAAGGCUACGAUUGGUAGCCGAACUGAGAGGUUGAUCGGCCACAUUGGGACUGAGACACGGCCCAGACUCCUACGGGAGGCAGCAGUGGGGAAUAUUGGGCAAUGGGCGAAAGCCUGACCCAGCGACGCCGCGUGAAGGAUGAAGGUCUUCGGAUUGUAAACUUCUUUGAUCAGGGAAGAAAGAAAUGACGGUACCUGAAGAACAAGCCACGGCUAACUACGUG
rnacentral:rRNA from 1 species